rnacentral:rRNA from 1 species
CCUACGGGGAGCAGCAGUGAGGAAUAUUGGUCAAUGGACGCAAGUCUGAACCAGCCAUGCCGCGUGCAGGAAGAAGGUGCUAUGCAUUGUAAACUUCUUUUAUAGGGGAAUAAAGGUAUCCACGUGUGGAUAUUUGCAUGUACCCUAUGAAUAAGCAUCGGCUAACUCCGUGCCAGCAGCCGCGGUAAUACGGAGGAUGCGAGCGUUAUCCGGAUUUAUUGGGUUUAAAGGGUGCGUAGGUUGUUUUUUAAGUCAGCGGUGAAAGUUUGUGGCUCAAACAUAAAAUUGCCGUUGAAACUGGAAGACUUGAGUGUGUUUGAGGUAGGCGGAAUGCGUGGUGUAGCGGUGAAAUGCAUAGAUAUCACGCAGAACUCCGAUUGCGAAGGCAGCAUGCCGGCUUCCGACUGACGCUGAAGCACGAAAGCGUGGGGAUCGAACAGGAUUAGAUACCCCUGUAGUC